rnacentral:rRNA from 1 species
GACAGAGGCCUCAAGCGUUAGGCGGAAUCACUGGCUUAAAGCGUGUGUAGGCGGAUCGUUAAGUGUCUUGUGAAAUCCCACGGCUCACCCGUGGAACUGCUGGGCAUACUGGCGAUCUUGGGCCAACUAGGGCAACUGGAACAAGCGGUGGAGCGGUGAAAUGCGUAGAUAUCGCUUGGAACGCCAAGGUGAAACAGGUUGCUGGGUUGUGCCGACGCUGAGACACGAAAGCCAGGGGAGCAACGGG